rnacentral:rRNA from 1 species
AGUCGAGCGGAGUUGAUAAGAAGCUUGCUUCUCUUGAUGCGUUAGCGGCGGACGGGUGAGUAACACGUAGGCAACCUGCCCUCAAGUUUGGGACAACUACCGGAAACGGUAGCUAAUACCGAAUAAUUGUUUUCUUCGCCUGAAGGAAACUGGAAAGACGGAGCAAUCUGUCACUUGGGGAUGGGCCUGCGGCGCAUUAGCUAGUUGGUGAGGUAACGGCUCACCAAGGCGACGAUGCGUAGCCGACCUGAGAGGGUGAUCGGCCACACUGGGACUGAGACACGGCCCAGACUCCUACGGGAGGCAGCAGUAGGGAAUCUUCCGCAAUGGGCGAAAGCCUGACGGAGCAAUGCCGCGUGAGUGAUGAAGGUUUUCGGAUCGUAAAGCUCUGUUGCCAGGGAAGAACGCUUGGGAGAGUAACUGCUCUCAAGGUGACGGUACCUGAGAAGAAAGCCCCGGCUAACUACGUGCCAGCAGCCGCGGUAAUACGUAGGGGGCAAGCGUUGUCCGGAAUUAUUGGGCGUAAAGCGCGCGCAGGCGGUCAUUUAAGUCUGGUGUUUAAUCCCGGGGCUCAACCCCGGAUCGCACUGGAAACUGGGUGACUUGAGUGCAGAAGAGGAGAGUGGAAUUCCACGUGUAGCGG